AGCAGCCGCGGUAAUUCCAGCUCCAAUAGCGUAUAUUAAAGUUGUUGCAGUUAAAAAGCUCGUAGUUGAAUUUCGGGAUUGACACAUCGGUCGUGCCUUAAGGGGUAUGAACUGGUGUAGUCAAUUUCUCACCUUCUGGAGAACCGCGAUGCCCUUAAUUGGGUGUCGCGGGGAACCAGGACCUUUACUUUGAAAAAAUUAGAGUGUUUAAAGCAGGCAUUUUGCUUGAAUACAUUAGCAUGGAAUAAUAAAAUAGGACGGCAUGGUUCUAUUUUGUUGGUUUCUAGGAUCACCGUAAUGAUUAAUAGGGAUAGUUGGGGGCAUUAGUAUUCAAUUGUCAGAGGUGAAAUUCUUGGAUUUAUUGAAGACUAACUACUGCGAAAGCAUUUGCCAAGGAUGUUUUCAUUAAUCAAGAACGAAAGUUAGGGGAUCGAAGACGAUCAGAUACCGUCGUAGUCUUAACCAUAAACUAUGCCGACUAGGAAUCAGACGAUGUAAUUUUUAAUGACUCGUUUGGCAC
rnacentral:rRNA from 1 species